AACUUAAAACUAAAGAGUAAUAUAUAAAGAUGAUCACGACUCACAUCUGCAUGGUAUACGGAUCAAUCUGAUCAUAACUCAUAAUAAUACUUGUAAACUGAAGCAACAAAAACAUACAAAGAAAGAGAUGUUGAAUUCGAAUAUUAGUGGGUAUGAAAUCAACUUUGGUACCAAGCACUUGAUCUUCAAAGUGAAAUUAAACUUUCUAACGCAAAUUCAGAUUAAUCAACUCCAAAGCAAGUAUCCAAUAUCGAGUGGAAAAAACAAAAGAAAAUAAAAACAUGCUAAGAAAGAUUAAUUUACAGUAUUAGUAAGGAAAUCAAAAUUCAGAAAAGAUCUUUGAAUCUUCUUUCCAGAAAUUGUUACGAGCUUCAUUUCCCACCAAGUGUUCCACAAAAUUUGUCGUACUCGAACCUUCACAACCUUUAUUUUGUGCUAUUCCUUCAUGAUAAUUCCCUAUUUUUGCAUGUUGAUUAUGAAAAUUGGAUGAUUUUGGAGGGCUUUUUCCUGUAAGUUGUUGAACAAUUGCUCUAAAUUCAGAAGGAUUUUUAACAUUAACCAAAACAGGACUUGAUAUAUACUUCACUUUCAUUGGCUCUUUCUUUUUGCUACUCAUUUCAUAAGAUGAUUUGCUUUGUG
rnacentral:lncRNA from 1 species